rnacentral:rRNA from 1 species
GAUGAACGCUGGCGGCGUGCCUAAUACAUGCAAGUCGAGCGAACGGACGAGAAGCUUGCUUCUCUGAUGUUAGCGGCGGACGGGUGAGUAACACGUGGAUAACCUACCUAUAAGACUGGGAUAACUUCGGGAAACCGGAGCUAAUACCGGAUAAUAUUUUGAACCGCAUGGUUCAAAAGUGAAAGACGGUCUUGCUGUCACUUAUAGAUGGAUCCGCGCUGCAUUAGCUAGUUGGUAAGGUAACGGCUUACCAAGGCAACGAUGCAUAGCCGACCUGAGAGGGUGAUCGGCCACACUGGAACUGAGACACGGUCCAGACUCCUACGGGAGGCAGUAGGGAAUCUUCCGCAAUGGGCGAAAGCCUGACGGAGCAACGCCGCGUGAGUGAUGAAGGUCUUCGGAUCGUAAAACUCUGUUAUUAGGGAAGAACAUAUGUGUAAGUAACUGUGCACAUCUUGACGGUACCUAAUCAGAAAGCCACGGCUAACUACGUG